CCACGCCGUAAACGAUGGAUACUAGAAUUAAGUAUACAAAUAUUUGAUUCGAAGUUAACGCAUUAAGUAUCCCACCUGAGGAGUACGACCGCAAGGUUAAAACUCAAAGGAAUUGACGGGGGCCCGCACAAGCAGUGGAGUAUGUGGUUUAAUUCGAAGCAACGCGAAGAACCUUACCGAGGCUUGACAUGUACAGGAAUACAUAAGAGAUUAUGUAGCACUUCGGUGCCUGUAUGCAGGUGGUGCAUGGUUGU
rnacentral:rRNA from 1 species